UUUUCUGAUAAGGCUACCAGGAUAAGAAUGAGAUGUGAGGGUUGUACCCUAAACCUAUUUCACUUUCGUUCUUCUCUGCAACAGGAGCAAAGCACCACCUCCGUCCAAAUCUACAGAACCUUGCCACCAUCGUCUUUAUCUUGCCACCACCACAACCACCAUCCACCUGUUCGGUACAAAUACCUUGUGCUCCUUCUUCUCUAUGUUGUCUUUAAUCGCCACCGCUGGUUACAGAAACGAUUUUUCUCACCAGUUUCGAUAAAAAUCAAUGAGUAGGUAGAGAAAUCGGUGAUAAUUUUGUAAGAGUCCUUCUGUUAUGUAUUACGUAUUCUUCAGACAAUUUGGAUUUCAUUAAAUUGGUGGAAUUUUUGGGGGAUUUUAAAAUUUCUGAUUAGAAUAUAAGGAUUAAUACCUUGACAUGAAUUGGGUUUUGUUUCAUUUUGAGUUUUAUUUAAAUUUUAAUUGUCAAUUUUUUAGUUUGUUAUAAUUAGGGUUUUUAAUUGUAAAUUCCGGGAUGUAAUGACGAAGAUACACAAUCCAUUACAUCGUAUUUUAUAUUUUUUUUCGUCAAUUCUUUCAUCAUUGUGCUAUUUCUUAGUUUUUUUUUACCAGAAACACCACUUCUCACUUCUGCUGGUCUUAGAGAGUGCUCUGUAUUUUAUUGAUUUUAGAUUUCCUAAUAACGUACUCACUUUAGAUUUCCUAAUAACAUACUUACUUUAGAUUUUCGUGUUCUAGUUGCAUCUAGGAGCUCUAUAUCUUAUUGAUUUUACUGAACCUAGAGACCCACGUUUUCAUCCUCUUUUCAGAGUAGGAAAAAAAUAAACAACCCCUUUCUUAUAACAUCAAUUUCAGGUUUAUUAGGUUUAAUCAGAUUGAAAUGAUGAAAUAUUUUUGUCAUUUUUAUCAAUUUUAGGUUUUAUUAGGUUUAAUCAGUGUAAAAUGAUGAUAGAUAGUUCUCUUUUUUGGGGUUUUUGUGUGUAUUAGACUGCAAAACAAAAUUUGAACUGGCUUUGGAAGUGGACAAUUCAAAUACUCAUGCAAGGUAUUGGUUGUCUAGGUUCCAGCUGAAAUAGCAAGCACCCGGGUCAUGUAAAGCCAUGUGAGUACACCCUAGAGGAUUUCUAUUUAUUACAUGUUAUAGAAUCUGUAUAAUGUUGAGAGCAGUGAGUAAAUGAGAUUUGAAUUUGAAUUUGUUUGUUUUCUGAUUAUAUUUUCCAACAACGGAUAUGCUCUCUACUAGUGGAAGGUGCAGACAUGGGUGAUGCAGAUGCACAAUAUGAGUUGGGUCGUCGUCUGAGAGUUGAGAAUCCUUAUGUCCAAUCAGAACAACAAGCUUUUUAUUAUUUGGAGAAAGCCAUUGAACAGUUGCAUCCAGGUGUCUGUAUCUUUUAUCGUAGAUGGUUCUGGAUUUUCUUUCAGAUCGGAACAUCCAUGCCAAGGAAAUGGAAAAAAAUGAUAUACAGGUGAAAUCAAAGGAGAUCCCAGAGAAAGAAAUCAAUUACCUCGGGAAGAGCUUGGCAUUCAAAGCUAUGCCAAUGCCAACAUUCUAUAAAGAACCUAUUUCUCCAAUUGAAUUAAAGAAAAUAUGGUCCCAUGGAUAGUUAAAGUUAUGAACGGAUUCUGCGAGAAGAAAGGAUGUUACGUGGUGGUUACCAACGUAUAAGUACCGCUAGAAUGACUUUAUGAUGUCUCAAAAAAAAAGGCUCCCCAGUCUAACGGUUCAAGUGAAUCAAGUACUCAAAGCAGUCAUGCCUAUCAAUGCUCAAGUUCGUAUAGAAAUGGAAGGAUUUUGCACGAGAAGCUUUUUUCAGCAAAAAACAAAAAAGUGAAGGAAUUGCUUUUGGAGGGGAGGAUAUGAAUUAUAACUAGUAAUAAUAAUUGUUUCAUAAAUUGAAUGAGGUUCUCUGUUUUCUUUCUUUCUUGAAACAAUUUCAAAGAUAUGAUGGAUAGAUUUAUUUAUUUGAAAUACAUUUGUGCAAUAAUUUGACUGUUGUAUUAUAUAUAUUGUGAAGUGAAUGAAAGAGUUUCCAUCUUUUUACAGUGAUGGUUU